rnacentral:rRNA from 1 species
AUGAGUAACACAUCAUCCUCCAUUAUGAGUUGGAAUGUUAGGGGCCUGAAUUCACCGGCGCGAUGAUUCGCAAUGCAUGAGCUCGCCGAAUCCCAUAGGACAUCUAUCCUCUGCCCGUAAGAAACGAAGUUGGAAAUCUGGUUUGCUAGCAUUGUUAGAGAACUAGGUGGUUCCUCACCGAAUGGGUGUGCGGUUUGGCCGGCAACUGGUACCAGAGGAGGGGCUGUAAUCCUAUGGAACAAACGUCUAGUUGACCUAGUCACACACUCUGUGGGUUGUUUCUCGAUCACGACUAAGGUCUCGAUUGUGCAGAGCAGCUCGUCGUUCUGGCUGACGAUAGUUUAUGGGCCCGCCGAAGAUGCCCGCAUGGAUGCCUUCCUGGUUGAGCUGACCCAAGUUGUCCCGCCCAUGGGUGAGCCGUGGCUGAUCACUGGCAACUUCAACAUCAUCUAUGAAGCCCGCGACAAGAAUAACUUCAACCUGAACAGAAGAAUAAUGGCAAGUUCAGAAGGUCCAUCGACACCUCCGUUCUGA